UUUUUUAUCUCACUUUUUCUUAUCAUAUAUCAUAUUUUCCUUAUCAAAUAUUAUAAAGUAUCUUUUAUCUUCGACAUGAUCGGAUUUUUAAGAUAAUAGUUAUAGUCAGAUGAAUCGUCGAAUUUGUGAAGCGUAUGUGAAACCCUUUAGUUAACUUCGCCCAUUUCAAAGUGAGCCUCGCCCUAAAAAAGUAGCCUUCCCCCCUCCCCCUACCAAACAAAGUUAGUCACUCUCCAAAAAAGUAGUCCCACCAACAAAGUUAGUCCUGCUCUUAAAAAAGUAGUCCUCCCUUACAAAGUUAACCACAUGCCCUCAAAGUUAGACACACCACCUGUCAGCUUAGUCCGGCUCCUCUAUAAAGUUGACCAUGACCUUACAAAAUUGGCCCUGCCCCCUAACUGAUCGAUAAAGCAGAAAUUCAUUGUUACUGACCAUUUACAUGCCCGAUACGAUAGGAUUCCAUUAUACCGACAUUUUGUUUGAUGAAACAAAAAUCUAGUAUUAUCGACACAUUGUUUCAGUAUUUGUUACGUCACUUAUUGGUAAAAGCGACGAUAAAACUUCUGUUUUGUUGAAAAAUAUUUAAUUAUUCUAGCUUACUUGUAUAAAAAAGAGAGCUGACAUCUUUACUGAUUGAAAUAUGAUAUAUUGAUAUCAUAUUAUAAAUUAUAUUAUAAAUAUACCUAAUUCGAAAUUUAUCAUAGUCAUUGAAUUACUUGUUUUGCUUAUUCUAUAUUUUCUUGCAACGUCUUAAACUUUAUAUGUUCUUACAUUUACAAGUAGAAUUAAAUUAUUCAAUAUUAAAAAGGAUGAAAGUUAUUAGCUUUAUAAAGUUGAAACAAUUGUACGAUUUUUAAUUUAAACAUUAAAUUUGUGCAUCAAAAUCAUUCAAGAAUUAUAUUUGGACUAGUCAUCGUUGACGUAAACCAUUAUAAAACUAGGGGUGAUGAAAAACUUUAAAAGGCUAACGGAAUUAAAUUACAAUUUUAACGAAGUCCAAUUUGUCUUGGUACGAAUAAUAGAAAGAAGCUUUUUCUAAAUGAAAAUGUACAUACAUAAAAGAUAACGUUUCGUAUUAUCGUAUUUACUAUUGCGAAUGUGUAAAAUAGUGUACGAGAAUUCGAGACGUAUAUAUGCGAUUCUUUUCAAAGAAAUAACAUAAAAAUACAAUAUUAUAUACUAUUCAAAGUAACAAUCGUUCAAUUUACUUUUGUAUUUGUUCUAUGCAUUAAAGGAUUAUAUAUAUGUAUGUAUAUACAUAUUUAUUUACAAAGUAUGUAUAAAUAUGUAUACAUAUAUAUAUAUAUAUUUUAAUUACCAUUUACCUAAUAUUUUAUAAAGUCGAUGGAAAAAUUAGAAAAUGACCCUCAUCUAUCUUGUGGCAUUGUUACUUUUAAUUUGAUUUAUGCAUAUUCCGUCUUGUAGAAGCAUGGUAGUAGUCCGAUCGGACGCCAUUUCCUUCGAAAUUGUCGGUAGUAAUUGAACGACGUUACGUGCGAUUGAAUUCGUAGUUCUAAACUCGAACUAAUUACAAUCUAAUUUUAUUACGAUAUCGAUUGCCAAUAUAUAUAUAUAUGUAUAUAUACGAUACUAGGAACGACGCAAGGAAAGUACCAUUGAAAAUACAUUUACAUUUUCUUCUUUUUCAAUAAAGCCCACGAAAAGAAUCGAACAUCAUUAAAGAGUAUCAGAUCAGAAUACCUGUCACAUUUUGAUGAUGACUGUUGGAAAUUAUUGGAGUAAUGUUAACGUGAGAAACAUUCUAAAUAGCCACUGCUUGGAGCAAUUCUUUCAUUGCUUGAAUCUAUUAAACAAAAAGUACGAAAAGUUCUUGUAACGACUCAGCAAAUUCUAACUACAAGAAAAUUCCACGAACAAAUUAGAAAAACCUACACUAACAAAAACUUAUAAUCAAAGAGGUGCUAUUGUUCUUCACUUCUUUAACGUAGAACUUUUAGAAUUGUUAAACCUAAUUUGUUUCAUACAAAUCCUGUUUAACAAUUAAGUAUUUGUUCAAAUCUGUUUGCGCAAAUAUAGAAGUUUUUAAUAAUUUUAGUAGUUUGACCUGUUAGUUUAUUUUAAAACUUAAUGUAAGUUUCCUAUUUAAAUGGAUAAGAUGUGCGUAGAAGAUAAUCCAUUGUUUUUACAUUCACCUAAUUUGAUAUUUCUAUGAAUAAUAUUUUCUCAAUACAGUAUUAAUCUGACAAAUAUAUAAAUUUAUUUAUCUUGUAAAGUGUAUCUCUUUUAUAUACCAUUUUGUUUAUUUAGCUUUAUUAUUAUUCAAUGAUAUUUUUCAAAUUGAUUGAUCAAAUUGAUUGAAGAAACAUCUCUUGUCGUUGAAAAUGUUACUUUUCAUCUGUUAUAAUAAAUAAAUAAAUAUUGAUAUUAAAAAGAAAAAAUGGCAAGCUCCUUCUCUGUAAUGUAUAUUCAUUGUUGAAAAAUAAAUAAAGAUUUUAUAUUUUGUAUUAAUACUUAUAUUUUGUAUUAUUAUUUGCAUAUUAAUUAUCCAAUAUACAAAAGAAUAAAAUUU